CUCAAUCGAAUGAACUCGGAGAAGACCGGUCCCGCCAGAAAUCCUGUAAGUGCGAUUCUAAAACCCUAAUUUAUAUAUUUUCCCCAAUUCUUCAUUUCCAUAGCAAUGUUUGGUUCUCUAUGCAAUACUUUGAUUCGAAAUAGGAUCAUCAAUGGAGGAGAUUCAAAACCUCUUUCUCUACAAAACCCUUGUUUUAUUCUUCUACAUCAUAUCAAGGUUAGAUUUGUUUCUUCUUCUUCAUUUGAAGCUUAUUACAUGAUGAAUUCUUUUGGGUUAACUGAAACACAAGCUAUCUCUGCUUCUAAGAAACUUAAUUUGAAACCUCAUCGAAUCCAGACACUGUUCUUACUUUAUUUCAAGAUUACGGGUUCACUAAACCCGACAUCUCCAAAAUCAUUACCAAGGAGCCACUCAUCCUUUCAUUUGAUGCUCAUAAAACCCUCAAACGCAAACUUGAUUACUUCAAUUCUAAAGAGGCCUCUAGACUAAAUCAUCAAGUUCUUAACUACUAACCCAACAGUUCUAAAAACAAGUUUAGAAAACCAUAUCAUUCCUUUUUUCGAUUUCAUCAAGAACAUCGUUGGUACUGAUAGAUACACCUUCAUUGUUUUCUGGCGAACGAGGUUUCCUCCUGUGGAGCCAAUUGAGAAAUUUAUGCUCAACUUACAGGUUUUGAGAGAUGAAGGUGUUCCUCAAUCAAAUAUUGUCAAGUUUCUAAUCAGUCACCCGAGAUCACUAAGCACUGGUAAAUUCAAAGACAUUAUACAAGAGGUUAAGGGUAUGGGUUUCGAUCCAUACAAAUAUGCAUUUACUAGUGCUAUUCAUGCAUUGUCUGCGAUGAGUAAAUCGACAUGGGAAACAAAGUUGAAUGCUUUCAGGAAAUGGGGUUGGUCAGAAGAACAAAUUCAGAAUGCCUUUGUAUUACAUCCUCAGUAUAUGAAGCAUUCUGAGAAGAAGAUAUCGGCGAAAAUGGAUUACCUUGUAAAUCAAUUGGGUUUUAGUUCACUGCUUAUUGCCAGAUGCACGGUGAUUUUGAAUUAUAGCUUGGAGAAGAGGAUUAUACCUAGGUGCUCUUUUUAUCGAAAUUUAGUCUCCAAGGGUCUCAUUGAGAAGAAUAAAAUUAGGAUAUCUUCACUUUUAUGCAUAACUAAGAAGUCUUUCUUGGACAAGUAUGUGAUCAAGUAUCAGCAAGAAGCUCCUGAACUCCUGAAGGUAAACCAAAGUUAACAAUAUACUAUGUCUGAAUCAAGAUAUGAACAUGUUGGUGUUGAAAUUACAGUUUACAUUUGUCUUUCCUUCUCUGGGUCGAUUUCACUUAUUGGCCUGAUUCUAUUUUCUCCAAUAUGAAAAUUGUCUAUACCAGCCGUUUUGUUACUUAUGUAUUGAUGGACAACAAAAGCAUAUAUUUGUACGGGGUAGUUUUAUGAAUUGCACCAACUCUUAGUUUAUCUGGAACUUGAGUAUUGAAUUUGAAUGACUAAGUUUUAGCCGUAGAUUAGAUGGAACUGACAUUUUAGGAUAGGUAUAUCUGUGUUUUAUUGUUUGGUUUCGUAAGUUCAUCAACUUAUCCAAUUUUACUGUUUGACUAGUAUCAAGCUCUCUUUGUAUUUGUGGUUAGUAACAUUCUCAUAUAGUUCACAUGAAUUUUGAGAUUUUUUUUGGUUGUCGUAAAUUUAUAAGAACCUCUCUUAGGUUUCUGCUUAGAAAGGUGUGUGUUAAUAACUUGGGAAUUUCUUGUGGUUCUAUUGUAUGAAGUUGUGCAAAAUGUAAGAAGUGUGAUGUUACUUUCUUGUAAUCCAAGGGGUGAAAAUGGAUUAUUUUCUUUUGACCAAAGCAGUCAACUGUAGCCAGGAAACUCCAUUCUUAACGAUUUAUAAAAUUAUAUAAGCAAAGGAGAAAACUUACUCGAACUGCGUUCCAUUCUCAUUGACAUGCAUUCUUCACUAGAGCAAUAUCUUGGCAGACCCUAUCACUCAGAGGGAGAAUCCAUGAUGGAAACACUUGUGAAGGCGAUGUUGGAUUUGUUUAAUCUGCCUAUUCAAACUUGGUGGACCGUUGCUUGCCUCCACAUCAGUAGUUCAGGGUUCUGUUGGCCUUGCAAAGGAUAGGGUGGAGGAACUUCACUAAAUUCUGAAUAGCCAUUUCAGAUAUAUUCAAGUUGCUGAUGUUGGACAGUAUACAGAUUCACCUGAUGAGGUUGCUUAGCUACUGAGUUUCCUAUGCCUCCGGUUUGUUCACUACUUGUUAGACCUGGUCGGCCUGCUGAGGAAGCACCUGGUAUUGCUAAGCAACAAUCUGAUGUGAUCUUAAGGUACAUUGGAAGACUGUAUUAGUGUUAACCAACAUAUUUAAUGUUAUGUUUGUUUGUGUGUGGAAAGAGUUUAAAUAUGUUAGGGAGGACACACGAGCGUGGAUAGUGUGAUGGUUGGCACGAGCAGACAUUUUUGUGGAACUCGCUUCCAUGGUUUCUACUGUUUCAUCACAAAUAAGUUUUAUGAUGCUAAUGUGGAUUAGUUAGUUUGUAGAGGAAAUGUGGAUGACACAUGUAGACUUUGGGUGAGACAGAACAAUCCUACCACUGAACCAAUGUUGGACUGACGAUUUGACUAUUACUAGGGUGGGAUCUGGGGGAUGAAAAAAUGGAAUAUGAAGAAUCUGAUGUGCAAGUUCUAACAUGCACUGUUAUGAGAUGACCAUACAAAUUCGAAAUGAAUCAAUAAACUGCUUAGCUUCUAGAAUACCUGGUUUUUCAUUGUUCGCGUAAGCUGUGUCACCUUCUUUUUUCUUUGAAUAGCUUAUCCUUACUUCUCAAGACAGUACACGAGCCAGUCAAUAAGGAGGAAACCUACUCGGAGCUGCAUUCCUUUCGCAUUGACAUGCAAUGUUCAGAAGAAGUAUAUCUUGACAGACCCUAACUUAGAGGAGGGUAUCCAUCAUGGGAACUCUUGUGACUGUGGUGUUGGAUUCGUCUAAUAGGUUCAUCUCUCUGUUCAAACCUGGUGGACCAUUUGUUGCUUCCACGUUAGUAUUUCAGGGUUGUUGACUUGUAGUGGACUUACAAAGGAUCAGAUGAAGGAACUUCACCAAUACUGAACAGAGACAUUUCAGAUAUGGAAGCUGAUUAGGUUGAUGAGUAGUCGAGACUCAAGAUACAAAUCCUCAUGUUAAAAGCAGCUAGCAGAUUUGGCUCCUAGCAUUAAGCGAACUUCAUUCUUGUAUUUACAUUGCUUCCUGAAUAGUCAAGACUCAAGAGACAAGUCAUGUUAAAACUUAAAAGCAGCCAACAGAUUUGGCUCCUAACAUUAUGCGAAGUUGUUUCUUCUAUUUUACAUUUCUUCCUGUGGUGCAGUACUAAUGAUCUUCAUUUUA